rnacentral:rRNA from 1 species
UACGGGGGGGGCAAGCGUUGUUCGGAAUUACUGGGCGUAAAGGGCUCGUAGGCGGCCAACUAAGUCCGACGUGAAAUCCCAAGGCUUAACCUUGGAACUGCGUCGGAUACUGGAUGGCUUGAAUUCGGGAGAGGGAUGCAGAAUUCCAGGUGUAGCGGUGAAAUGCGUAGAUAUCUGGAGGAAUACCGGUGGCGAAGGCGGCAUCCUUGACCGACAUUGACGCUGAGGAGCGAAAGCUAGGGGAGCAAACGGG